GGGAAGAGGCUAGCAGAGGGAGAGAGGAUCAUGGGGAGGGGAGGUGAAGGCACGGAGAGUAACAAGAGAAAAUAUGUCACAAAGAAGUGACUCAUGGGAGGGGUGUCACAGGAGGAAGGUCACAGGAGGAGGGGGUUCGUUGUGGAGGGAGGGUCACAGAGGCUGACAGUCACACUGAGCAGGGAUUAUUAAUGGGGAAGAGGAACCACACAUUAAAGAGAAUGUCACAGGGUCCAGGAGAGAGCAGAGGCCUGUAGGCCUGCAGACACCAAGUCCCCAGGGCUUCCAAAACACGGGCUUCUUCUACAGGUGGGCCUGAUGACCUACUGAGAGGCAGCCAAUGAAAUUUCACCCAUAGCUAAUUAGCUGCCUGGGCUAUGUCUGCUCUGACAAGGCAGUGUGCUGGGAUUGACUAUUCAUGUCUGCCAUGGGUGCAGCAGUGGGUCGUAGGCUACAUUAGUGAAGCUCAUCAAGUAGAAAAUAUGAGGAAAAGACAGUCGUCCCCAGACAGCCAGUUCCAGCGGGAUGACCUAGAGUGGCCUUUGCCAUCUGUUGGUCCCAUUGAAACAUCACGGGAUUUGAUAUCUCAACCAGAGUCACUAAACAGAUCAUACCAGGACGGUUGCCAGAAAAGCACCUAGCCUGCAGGUCAUUUGUCUGCGUGACCUUGGGUUUCUGAAGCUGUGAAAUGGGCUCAUCCAUCUUGCCAGAACUUGGGGAAUGUUAAGGGUGAGUGAAAUAAACAUUUGAACCCAAAGAACA
rnacentral:lncRNA from 1 species